rnacentral:rRNA from 1 species
GAUGAACGCUGGCGGUGUGCCUAAUACAUGCAAGUCGUACGCAUUCUCGUUUCUGAUUGACGGUGCUUGCACCUAAUUGACGAGACAUUGGAAUGAGUGGCGGACGGGUGAGUAACACGUGGGUAACCUGCCCAGAAGCGGGGGAUAACAUUUGGAAACAGAUGCUAAUACCGCAUAAAAGUCAAAACCACAUGGUUUUGAUUUAAAAGAUGGCCUUUGUGCUAUCACUUCUGGAUGGACCCGCGGCGUAUUAGCUAGUUGGUAAGGUAAUGGCUUACAAAGGCAAUGAUACGUAGCCGAACUGAGAGGUUGAUCGGCCACAAUGGGACUGGGACACGGCCCAUACUCCUACGGGAGGCAGCAGUAGGGAAUCUUCCACAAUGGGCGCAAGCCUGAUGGAGCAACACCGCGUGAGUGAAGAAGGGUUUCGGCUCGUAAAACUCUGUUGUUAAAGAAGAACGUAUCUAAGAGUAACUGCUUAGGUAGUGACGGUAUUUAACCAGAAAGCCACGGCUAACUACGUGCCAGCAGCCGCGGUAA